AUUGAACGCUGGCGGCAGGCUUAACACAUGCUAGUCGAACGAGUGGCGGACGGGUGAGUAAUGCUUGGGAACCUAGCUUAUGGAGGGGGAUAACUACGGGAAACUGUAGCUAAUACCGCGUACCAUAGGAUGAGCCCAAGUGGGCUUAGGUAGUUGGGGAGGUAAAGGCUCACCAAGCCGACGUUCUCUAGCUGGUCUGAGAGGAUGACCAGCCACACGGGGACAGAGACACGGCCCAGACCCCUACGGGAGUCAGCGGUGGAGAAUAGUGCGCAAUGGAGGCACACUGACGCAGCCAUGCCGCGUAAAGGAAGAAGGCCUUCGGGUUGUAAAGUUCUAUCGGUAGCGAGGCGUUAACUACAGAAGAAGCACCGGCUAAAUCCGUGCCAGCAGCCGCGGUAAUUC
rnacentral:rRNA from 1 species